GUGCCAGCAGCCGCGGUAAUACGGAGGGUGCGAGCGUUAAUCGGAAUUACCGGGCGUAAAGGGCGCGUAGGCGGUCGCGCAAGUCGGGUGUGAAAGCCCCCGGGGCUCAACCUGGGAAUUGCAUUCGAUACUGCGUAACUAGAGUCUGGUAGAGGGAAGCGGAAUUCCGCAUGUAGCGGUGAAAUGCGUAGAUAUGCGGAGGAACACCAGUGGCGAAGGCGGCUUCCUGGACCAAGACUGACGCUGAGGCGCGAAAGCGUGGGGAGCAAACAGGAUUAGAUACCCUGGUAGUCCACGCCCUAAACGAUGAGGACUAGACGUUGGGGGGGAUAAAACCCUUUAGUGUCGCAGCUAACGCGUGAAGUCCUCCGCCUGGGGGAAUACGGCCGCAAGGUUGAAACUCAAAGGAAUUGACGG
rnacentral:rRNA from 1 species